GACUCUGUGCUCAAACUAGCGUUCCUCCCUGUCCAGGAUGUCUCAUCAUUGAAAGAGUUCCCACUGGCCUGUAGGUGUAAAUUGACUGGAGAGUCCUGGCCCUACUAAAGAAUGUUAUCUUGUUUCAGGAUACAUAAUACCUGCCGUUAUCCAACCCAUUCACAGUGUUGGGGAAAGCCUAAGCUGAGAAGGCGGUAGAGAAGGACAGCUGCUGGGUAAACAAAAACUCUUAGUGAUCCCUCAUCAUAUGUCAGCAGUAUUGAAACAGUUCAGACAUGUUUUUUCUAAAUGUAGUCUAAGUGUCAGGAGGAAUGUCGUGAUUUAUACAUUGAGGAAACCAAACAACCUCUGGCAAUGCAGAUGGCACAACACAGAAGAGCUACCUAUGUUUACACCUACAGGUCAGUGUGGCCUGUAGGUGUAAUUCUUAAUUCCACUCUGCCUAGAUGCCUAGAUACCCAUAAAUCAGGUGAUGUUAUGCCAUCAUUUCUUAGUACACAACAAACACUUCACAUUAGAAUGAAAAAAAAUCUCAAGUGUGUGGAAGUAGACGUAGUAGUAGCACAUUUAAUUAUUUACAAGCAUAAUGUAUGUUUAUUGACAUACAUGGGCAACCUUUCUACUUUCAGCAGAUCAGAGCAAUCGGCUGCAGUAUCAGGGUCACAAUAAACUUUAUUGUCCAGUUGUGGAUGGUGGAGAGUACCAGCUUUUUAAAUCCUGGUGGGGUUCUCCCUAAAGAAGUGUAAUUGACCCACUUUUGAUCCCAUGCCUUAUCACAUAAGGGAUAAAAUACAUAUCUACAAUUUUUGUGUCCCAGCUGAGUAACAGGAGGAGAAGAGUCUGGUGGAGCAGCAGAGGAACAAUUUCAGCCAUUUGGACUCAGCUCAGCCACUACAGAGGAAACAAUGACUUCAACACAAAAGAACCAACAUGGAAGUCAGCGCUCUCAGGAGGCCGACAAACCUCACAGAAGAAAGGGAGAGAAAACAUACAGUUAUGAUGAGUGUGGAGAAGAUUUUACUGGAAAGUCUAACCUGAACCUUCAACAACUCAUCCACACUGGGAUGAGACCAUUCAGGUGUGACUUGUGUGGAACGUCUUUUACCAAGACAGUAAACUUGAAAAGACACCAACUCAUCCAUAGUGGAGAUAAACCGUACAGCUGUGACUUGUGUGGAAAAUCUUUUACCCAACCUGGAAACUUAAAAAGACACCAGCUUGUCCACAGUGGAGUUAAACUGUACACCUGUGAUCAGUGUGGUAAAACUUUUAAUUGCAGUGGCAACUUACUAAAGCAUGAAGUUACCCACUCUGGAAUUAAGGCGUACAGCUGUGACAUUUGUGGGAAAACUUUUAGCCUUUUAGGGAACAGAAAUAGACACCAACGCAUUCACACUGCAAAUGGUGUUUACUUCUGUGAUCAGUGUGGGAAACUGUUUACAACAGAUGCACACUUACAAUUCCACAUGUUUACCCACACUGAUGAGAGACUUUAUAAAUGUGACCUGUGUGAUAAGGCUUUUAAAGCUCCACGUUACCUGAGAAAACACCACCAAAUGCACUCCAGAAAGAAACUCUACAAGUGCAGUUAUUGUGAGGAUAAUACCCAUAAGGAUUAAGCGACUCUGACCCAAAGGAUGGAGAGCUGUCCAGACCACCUGUACGGGGGUAACUGGGAUCUAACAGUGUGAAUGAGGUAUGUUGUAUAAAGCACUUUGAGUGCUCAGGCAGAGUAGAAAAGUGCUCUGUAAGAACCAGUCCAUUUUACUUGUAUUCACUGACUGAACAACAGGAGGGUCAUCUAACUAAAACCAGUCAGUGUAUCCCACCUGACCCCCUCAAAAUCAAAUUAUUUUUAAUGGUCUGUAAGUUUUAUUUACAUGUCCUCAAAGUAUGGUGAGAGUCUGUCUGCAGCCAGGGUAGCAGUGCUUGUUGCUGUUCCUCUACAUCAAAGACAUUUAUUGUAGCCCAGUGAGCUGAGUGUUAUAAUGUAAACAGUAAAAUGUAAUUGGAUAUUGGCAGAAAUGCUCUUUAUCUGAGGCGACGUUCAGGGUAAAAAUGUUGAAGGAUUACUCUGACUUACACUGUCUUUGUAUCUUUGUUUAGAAGCAGAGCAACACAGAUGGAUCCCGUUCUCAACCCUGUCGUCACUGUGGUGGUGGGAAAGACUUUUGUUGUGACCUUUGUGGAAAAACUUUCAAUCAUCAAUGGAACCUUACAAUACAUCAACGUAGACACACUGGAGACAAAAUGAGCUACUGCAAAAAAUGUGGGAGAGGCUUCCCCACUCCAAGUGAAUUAAAGCGCCAUGAACUCAUUCACAGUGGGGUCAAAAAGCACGUCUGUGACCAGUGUGGGUCAUCAUUUAUUACUGCAGAUGAUCUUAAAAGACAUAAACGAGUCCACACGGGAGAGAAACCAUACAAGUGCAGACACUGUGAGAAAUGUUUCACACAAUCAAGUAGUCGUAACCUUCAUGAAGGUACACACGGAAGAGAACUUCAGCUGUGACAAGAGCUUCAGGAAUCUCACUACAUACUCCGAACACAAACAAUCCCAUGCUGUAAACAAACUGUUUCACUGUUACCAAUGUGCAAAAACAUUCACUUCAUUUUCUGCUCUGUGCAAACAUCAGCGUGAUCACGCAAGACUGAAAUCACUGGAUCACAAUGAAUCUGAAGAGACAGAAAGUUCCUCUUCUGGUUUCAGGGUCAGACUUCAAAACCUUGAGAUCAGGCUCCACAGAGUUCAGCUGGAAUCUGCUCUAAAAAGUGUCAGCUAAUGACACACUUGGAUCUGAUGAGGUAGCUCUGAUAUGUGGACCUGCAGUGAAUAAACCUGAAUGUUAUAACUAGGAAGGCACAAGUAUAAAUAUUUACAUUAGUUUGUGUGUGUGUGUGUGUGUGUGUGUGUUUUAAGGAAUUUUAACAUUUAUCCCCCUACAAACAGUAGCUUUUAGUCUCAGUACUUCCAUGGAUGCUUUUAGUGUUUAAUAACCAGUAACCAUCAUGGCUUAUCAAUUGAUAAAUAGACAAAUCGAUAUAUUCCCACUCUUAAUACACCCAAUCACUGCAGUGUCAUUAGAUAAACUUUUACAGGUGGCACGUUUCUCCUUUCUACUAGAAAUCUGAGGUGUAUAAGGUAAACAGCAAUGGAGAUCAAAAUCCUUCGGCACUAUUAUUUGCACUGCAGUGAACUGGAACCUGUUCAGCAUGUACUAUUAGAAUGUCAGGUCUAUGUUCAAGAAAGGAACAAGGCAUUAAUAGCAAUUUUUAAGAAGCUGAAUGUGACUAGGCUCUUUGACAUUCAUUUAAACACGAAGCUUCAGAAGGAUUUCAUAAGAUGCUCUAUACCGCAGUUAGACUUCAGUCUAGCAAAGA